rnacentral:misc_RNA from 1 species
AUGCGAUAAGUAAUGUGAAUUGCAGAAUUCAGUGAAUCAUCGAAUCUUUGAACGCACAUUGCGCCCGCUGGUAUUCCGGCGGGCAUGCCUGUUCGAGCGUCAUUUCAACCCUCAAGCCCCCGGGUUUGGUGUUGGGGAUCGGCUCUGCCUUCUGGCGGUGCCGCCCCCGAAAUACAUUGGCGGUCUCGCUGCAGCCUCCAUUGCGUAGUAGCUAACACCUCGCAACUGGAACGCGGCGCGGCCAUGCCGUAAAACCCCAACUUCUGAAUGUUGACCUCGGAUCAGGUAGGAAUACCCGCUGAACUUAA